UCAAAUUUGCUCGCUUGCACUACUACUCUUGCCGCACUGUUCUGAAUAUACUAAAGUCUUUUCAAAAGAUAUUUUGGGAGACCAUAGUAGAGUGAGUUGCAAUAGUCCAACUUGGAGGUGAUAAAUGCAUGGACCACACUAUCUGUUGCAGAAUCAGUAAGAUAAUUUCUAAUCUUAGCAAUAUUCCUGAUGAAGUAGAAUGAAGACUUACAGACUUAUUGAUUUGCUCAUGGCAACACAGAAUGCUUUAAAUGAUAUGCAAAGACAGAAAGUAUAACCAAACGAGCAAUGUAACCAAAAAACUCUGAAAGAAAAAUCAUUACUCUGAAUAACCAAACCUUAUCGUUCCCUUGAAAGUGAUUUUUCCUUAUUUCCAGUUCAAGAGUAGUAGAAGAAUAGGUUAAACCAAGAAGAGAAAAAGAAAUGGAAACUAUUAAAUACCAGGGAAAGUCCCAUCGUUGUAGCAUUAUGUAGAACUGGAGACACCAUUGAGGAAAGGAUUCAUACAUUGCUUCUAUGUAGCGUGCUGUGGCGAGUUUAAUUUCAUUGUCUGUAACUCCACAGCAUUGACUUUGACAGAAGAGGACACAUAAAGAUAUGACAAUAAAUGCUACAGCAAAUCGAAACCAGUAUUCAUCACCAUCUAAUUUGUACUGAACAGCAGCGUAGAUGUCAGUCCCCAGAUCA